rnacentral:tRNA from 1 species
GGGCAGAUGUCCGAGGGGUCAAAGGAGGCGGUUUUGAAAACCGUUAUGAAAUCAUGCAUGGGUUCGAAUCCCAUUCUGCCCG